GACGAACGCUGGCGGCGUGCCUAAUACAUGCAAGUAGAACGCACAGUUUAUACCGUAGCUUGCUACACCAUAGACUGUGAGUUGCGAACGGGUGAGUAACGCGUAGGUAACCUGCCUGGUAGCGGGGGAUAACUAUUGGAAACGAUAGCUAAUACCGCAUAAUAUUAAUUAUUGCAUGAUAAUUAAUUGAAAGGUGCAAUUGCACCACUACCAGAUGGACCUGCGUUGUAUUAGCUAGUAGGUGAGGUAACGGCUCACCUAGGCGACGAUACAUAGCCGACCUGGGAGGGUGAUCGGCCACACUGGGAAUGAGACACGGCCCAGACUCCUACGGGAGGCAGCAGUAGGGAAUCUUCGGCAAUGGACGAAAGUCUGACCGAGCAACGCCGCGUGAGUGAAGAAGGUUUUCGGAUCGUAAAGCUCUGUUGUAAGAGAAGAACGGGUAUGAGAGUGGAAAGUUCACACUGUGACGGUAUCUUACCAGAAAGGGACGGCUAACUACGUG
rnacentral:rRNA from 1 species